ACCAGAGACAACAUAGAACUACGAUUGAUUAAAUUUAGGCAUAUUGAAAAGAAUUCAUCAAGCAUAGAUCCCAAUGUACAAAAAGAUGAAGACAAUAGAAACUUUCAGAACUAUAAAGCACAUACUGAGAUAAUAUGAAACCGAAAUCGAGAAAUUUAGAAGUUUGUAAAGAGAUUUUCAACUACAGAUGUCACCAAGAAAGAGGAAACUUU
rnacentral:lncRNA from 1 species